rnacentral:misc_RNA from 1 species
AAGUCGUAACAAGGUAACCGUAGGUGAACCUGCGGUUGGAUCAUUAUAAAUUUUCCUUAGGGUGAUGGACUAUUAUUUAAUUAACUGAAAAUCACCCUUUUGAGCAAACGUGCACUGUUUCCGUAUUUCCAAGUUUUUUUAUUAAGACUUGGGCCCAUUAAUUAACCCAACAUUAUUUUUUUAUGCCUGAAUUUUUUAUUUUAAUAAUAAAAAGAAAAACAACUUUUGACAACGGAUCUCUUGGCUCUC